UCCGCCCAUCACACACACACAGUCCAGCCUCCCACCGGACCCCUGACCUCAGUACCCCCUGCAGCGCAAGGAGGAAUAAGUCAGAAGGAAUGGAAUUGCUGGAUCUUACGAAGGCAUUUGCUCAGCUUUGGUAGACAUGGCCAAGAGGUUUCCAAAGGGCUGCACUCGCUUACCACUUACCAACAAUAUCUUAGAAUCCAGUGGCUCCAAGACCAAGUAUUGAUUGAGGACCUACUGUGUAGCUGGGAAAGAGCAGGGCGCAGGACACACUGAGCCCCUACCCUCAGGAGUUCCAACAGGAGACAGACUAUACACACCUCAGCAAACACCCGGACAAACUACUGCCUAGUGGAGAUUCCACUCAUGGGCCCAGAACAUUUUAUGCUGAAACUGCCUCAUACCUGUUCACAAGUGAUUUGAGUCCAUCUCCUCCAAACAAACAUUUAAAUCAGCCAAGGCAAAAUGAGAUCAGAAAGACAAAGCCCUCGAACAAAGAGAAGCAACAGUUUUUGUUACAUUUUGUCUUCUGUAUGUCUCCUUCUUGAAGAAUUUAGCUCCAAGUUAUACUCGGGAAGAGAAAAAAAUCAAAAGUUCCAGUAGGCCGCGAGGCCUAUGAUCCACCGUGUUGAAGGAAGAUUUGCUUCACCUCAUCCCGCGGUAAUACUAAGUUGUUCACACGCUGUGAAGAAGACCGGAACACUAGGCUGUCAACUGUUGGGGCCUACCUGCGCCAGACUUCUUCCUCAGUGGCCAGCUUUUUCCCCCACAGUGAGCCACCAGGGGGCCGCCUGCUUGGAACAAGUGGUGUAGACGCCACAGCUUUUCUCCAAACCAACCAAAACAUUCCGGGGCAGCUUUGGAGCAAAGCCCAGGAACUUCCCUGCAAAGGAGAACAGCUCUCCAACUACAGAAGCCUGCAAGUCCUAUGGUGCAGCCUUAUUAAGAGUAGAGAAGAAAGCACGGAUUUCUCACCGAGGACCAAAGGGAAAUGGCGUCUCUGGGGCCUGCAACUUUCUUAAAAGUGCAUCAGCGAAACUCUGCUCAUCCAGGGGGGUGGUUGAUAAUGCUGUUGGCAGGGGUCCGGGGCCUCUCCCCCCUUUCCCUGGCACGCUCAGAAGAAGCGAGAAUAAAACAUACAUGUCAUUGGCUGAAAAUCUAGAGAACCCUCCAAUAAAUAACCUAUACAUUGUCAGGCCGCUGAGGAUCCAUAUCGUCAUAACUCUAUAACACUGCGUGUUACACGAAUAGAUGUGAAUAUUAAAUUAUGAUGUCGGAAUUAUUUUAA